ACUCCCUCUUUCUUCGUGCUUAACACAUGCAAGUCGAACGGAAAGGCCUGCAGCUUGCUGCGGGUACUCGAGUGGCGAACGGGUGAGUAACACGUGGGUGAUCUGCCUUGCACUUCGGGAUAAGCUUGGGAAACUGGGUUUAAUACCGGAUAGGACAGCUGUUUAGUGUCAGUUGUGGAAAGUUUUUUCGGUGCAAGAUGAGCUCGCGGCCUAUCAGCUUGUUGGUGGGGUAAUGGCCUACCAAGGCGUCGACGGGUAGCCGGCCUGAGGGGGUGUACGGCCACAUUGGGACUGAGAUACGGCCCAGACUCCUACGGGAGGCAGCAGUGGGGAAUAUUGCACAAUGGGCGGAAGCCUGAUGCAGCGACGCCGCGUGGGGGAUGAAGGCCUUCGGGUUGUAAACUCCUUUCGACAGGGACGAAGCUUUUGUGACGGUACCUGUAUAAGAAGCACCGGCUAACUACGUG
rnacentral:rRNA from 1 species